rnacentral:misc_RNA from 1 species
GUUUAAUUUCCAGAAGUCCUUGAUUGUUGAAAGAGGUAAGGAGGUAGAUACACUUCGACAUGGCCACCACUGUGAUCGUUCAGCAGCCGACAGCAGGGGGUACUGGGAACCCCCUGAUGGUCUCAACGAUUGAGGGCCACAGAAACUGGACUACUGGACUAUUUGACUGCUUCACCGACAUCAAGUCAUGUAUCCUGGGAUAUUUCUGCCUGCCGUGCACUGUCUGUAACGUGGCCACCAGGACAGGGGAGUGCUGUUGUAUGCCCUUCUUUGUUCCCGGGGGCACGGUGGUAAUGAGGACCAGAAUCAGGACUCUCGGAGGCAUCCAGGUAUACUAUUUAUAGAACUGUCGUCAAUUCCAAAAUUACUGAUUAGCAUACAGACCAUUUAAUUGCAUUUCUUUUACCAUUUUUGAUGGGGUUUUUUUAAAGUUUGGAAUUAUUGAAAAAGAAAUUGACAACUUACACUUUGUAACGAAAAAUAGUCGUAGAUGAUACAAAGGUUUAAAAUCUGUAUUAUUAAGUUUAGGUUUUCAGUUUCUUAAGUUUUGGUGGAGUCAUUUUGUGUAAACGUGUAUACGUACAGGUAUAAUAGUACACAUCUUCACAAUGUCAAGGCUUUGUGACUACGGAGCUCCACACUCUUGCUAUGUUGUGAAGAUGAAUAGUACAGUGCAUUCACAAUAUAUUGAUGCAUUAAUUCAUAUUCGUCUGAAAGAGAGUAACUUAAAAAAAUCAAAUUUGCUCUCAUUACAGGGCUCAGCCUGCAAUGACUUCUGUGCGUUAGCAUGCUGUGGUCCAUGUGCAGUUUGCCAGAUGCAAAGAGAACUGGAUAACAUGGGGGUCCCCUGAACCUGGUGUCUGCAGAUAAUGGUAGAAGGGACCAAACAAACCUGCCAACGAUGAUGCUUUCUCUAUAUGCUUUCAUGUAGCUACAAAGUAUAAAGUCUUGCAUGCAAUAUUAUUGAACCCUGUUGAAAUGUAUGGACAAAGACAUUCAAUAAAAUUUAUAUGCAACCAC